rnacentral:lncRNA from 1 species
AAGUCUUUUCAAAGCCUCUCUUCCUCCUCUCUUCACCUCCACACCCCAUGAUCUGAUUAGAUCAGGUCUACAAGAGUGAGAAAAGGGAGAGAGAAAGAAAAGGAGAAAGAUUUUUCUUCUCUUCUUGGUGGUCCGAUUCAGAUCCCAUCAGAUCUGUAUGAAAGGGUUCGCACAGCCUUCAUCUUCUUCGAGUUCUAGAAGAAGAUUCAGAUCCAAAACUGAGGAGUGAGGCCUGCAAGGUGCAGCACACCAAUGAUCUCGAUGCUCUGAUCAGGCAUCUCUGUGUGGAUAUCAAUAG